GAUGAACGCUGGCGGCGUGCCUAAUACAUGCAAGUCGAGCGAACAGACGAGGAGCUUGCUCCUCUGACGUUAGCGGCGGACGGGUGAGUAACACGUGGAUAACCUACCUAUAAGACUGGGAUAACUUCGGGAAACCGGAGCUAAUACCGGAUAAUAUAUUGAACCGCAUGGUUCAAUAGUGAAAGACGGUUUUGCUGUCACUUAUAGAUGGAUCCGCGCCGCAUUAGCUAGUUGGUAAGGUAACGGCUUACCAAGGCAACGAUGCGUAGCCGACCUGAGAGGGUGAUCGGCCACACUGGAACUGGGACAGGGUCCAGACUCCUACGGGAGGCAGCAGUAGGGAAUCUUCCGCAAUGGGCGAAAGCCGGACGGAGCAACGCCGCGUGAGUGAUGAAGGUCUUCGGAUCGUAAAACUCUGUUAAUAGGGAAAAACAAAUGUGUAAGUAAAUAUGCACGUCUUGACGGUACCUAAUCAGAAAGCCACGGCUAACUACGUG
rnacentral:rRNA from 1 species